GCGGAGGAAAAGAAACCAACAGGGAUUGCCCUAGUAACGGCGAGUGAAGCGGCAACAGCUCAAAUUUGAAAUCUGGCUCUUUCAGAGUCCGAGUUGUAAUUUGCAGAGGGCGCUUUGGCUUUGGCAGCGGUCCAAGUUCCUUGGAACAGGACGUCACAGAGGGUGAGAAUCCCGUACGUGGUCGCUAGCCUUUGCCGUGUAAAGCCCCUUCGACGAGUCGAGUUGUUUGGGAAUGCAGCUCUAAAUGGGAGGUAAAUUUCUUCUAAAGCUAAAUACUGGCCAGAGACCGAUAGCGCACAAGUAGAGUGAUCGAAAGAUGAAAAGCACUUUGGAAAGAGAGUCAAACAGCACGUGAAAUUGUUGAAAGGGAAGCGCUUGCAGCCAGACUUGCCUGUAGUUGCUUAUCUGGACUUUUGUCCAGUGCACUCUUCUGCGGGCAGGCCAGCAUCAGUUUGGGCGGUUGGAUAAAGGUCUCUGUCAUGUACCUCCUUUCGGGGAGGCCUUAUAGGGGAGACGACAUGCAACCAGCCUGGACUGAGGUCCGCGCAUCUGCUAGGAUGCUGGCGUAAUGGCUGUAAGCGGCCCGUCUUGAAACACGGACCAAGGAGUCUAACAUCUAUGCGAGUGUUUGGGUGUCAAGCCCAGACGCGUAAUGAAAGUGAACGGAGGUGGGAACCUUUUAGGUGCACCAUCGACCGAUCCUGAUGUCUUCGGAAGGAUUUGAGUAAGAGCAUGGCUGUUGGGACCCGAAAGAUGGUGAACUAUGCUUGAAUAGGGUGAAGCCAGAGGAAACUCUGGUGGAGGCUCGCAGCGGUUCUGACGUGCAAAUCGAUCGUCAAAUUUGGGCAUAGGGGCGAAAGACUAAUCGAACUAUCUAGUAGCUGG
rnacentral:rRNA from 1 species